rnacentral:rRNA from 1 species
AGGACGAACGCUGGCGGCGUGCUUAACACAUGCAAGUCGAACGGAAAGGCCCUUCGGGGUACUCGAGUGGCGAACGGGUGAGUAACACGUGGGUGAUCUGCCCUGCACUUUGGGAUAAGCCUGGGAAACUGGGUCUAAUACCGAAUAGGACUACGCGAUGCAUGUCGUGUGGUGGAAAGCUUUUGCGGUGUGGGAUGGGCCCGCGGCCUAUCAGCUUGUUGGUGGGGUGAUGGCCUACCAAGGCGACGACGGGUAGCCGGCCUGAGAGGGUGUCCGGCCACACUGGGACUGAGAUACGGCCCAGACUCCUACGGGAGGCAGCAGUGGGGAAUAUUGCACAAUGGGCGCAAGCCUGAUGCAGCGACGCCGCGUGGGGGAUGACGGCCUUCGGGUUGUAACCCUUCAGCACAGACGAAGCGCAAGUGACGGUAUGUGCAGAAGAGCACCGGCCAACUACGCGCCAGCAGCCGCGGU